CAAACCAAAGCUGGCGACCGGCGCACGGGUGAGUAACACGUAUCCAACCUGCCUCAUACUCGGGGAUAGCCUUUCGAAAGAAAGAUUAAUAUCCGAUAGCAUAUAUUUCCCGCAUGGGUUUUAUAUUAAAGAAAUUCGGUAUGAGAUGGGGAUGCGUUCCAUUAGUUUGUUGGGGGGUAACGGCCCACCAGGACUACGAUGGAUAGGGGUUCUGAGAGGAAGGUCCCCCACAUUGGAACUGAGACACGGUCCAA
rnacentral:rRNA from 1 species